rnacentral:lncRNA from 1 species
GGAAGGAUGUCUUGACUGAUGAAUGGCAUGGCCCAGAUCCCGUGAUUUCGAGAUCUAGGGGAGCGAUUUGUGUUUUUCCGCAGAAUCAAGAAAAUCCAAUUUGGGUACCUGAGUGUUUGACUCGAAAAUUGCCUUCUGCUCUUCCUGAAGAUGAGACUACGAACCCUACUAUUACUACUGGGAAUGGUAAUACAGGUUAAUUCGCUCACCCUGUGGGCUAUUGCCAGAUCCUGGCCAGUACCCAUGCCAGUUCAUAGCAAUUCUACUGUUUUGAGAAUAAGACUGACAAGCAUAAUCUCUGGUCUUGGUUUCAAUGGGUGCUGUCCAAUGAGCAAGGGGCAUAUACAUCCCUGACCCCCUUUGCUAGGUUGAUGGGAGAGAACUUCGUGCUGUAUAAUGUUUCAGCUACCAGAAAAAGGUGAUACCAGGUUGAUCAAUAUUCAAUAUAAUAACCUCUUGGUAAAUAAUACUGCCACUAGUACUUCAGUAUGUGCUAGAUCACCUUUUUUCUGAUAAGCACUAAUGUAAGCAGUGGUGCUUUAAAUUGUAAUAGCUCUGAUGUAGUCUGCUAUUUAGCUGAAUGCUGGGAUGGCACUAAUGACACCGCAGUGAUAGUUAAGAUUCC